rnacentral:rRNA from 1 species
AUUGAACGCUGGCGGCAGGCCUAACACAUGCAAGUCGAGCGGAUGAAGGGAGCUUGCUCCUGGAUUCAGCGGCGGACGGGCGAGUAAUGCCUAGGAAUCUGCCUGGUAGUGGGGGAUAACGUCCGGAAACGGGCGCUAAUACCGCAUACGUCCUGAGGGAGAAAGUGGGGGAUCUUCGGACCUCACGCUAUCAGAUGAGCCUAGGUCGGAUUAGCUAGUUGGUGGGGUAAAGGCCUACCAAGGCGACGAUCCGUAACUGGUCUGAGAGGAUGAUCAGUCACACUGGAACUUAGACACGGUCCAGACUCCUACGGGAGGCAGCAGUGGGGAAUAUUGGACAAUGGGCGAAAGCCUGAUCCAGCCAUGCCGCGUGUGUGAAGAAGGUCUUCGGAUUGUAAAGCACUUUAAGUUGGGAGGAAGGGCAGUAAGUUAAUACCUUGCUGUUUUGACGUUACCAACAGAAUAAGCACCGGCUAACUUCGUG